AUGAAAUGAAAAUUAAACCCAAAAUACAGUCUUAAAAAAAGGAAGAAGUUUAGUAAAUAGGAAAUGUAAGACGUUAACAAGUGAGUCUUCCUUGUUUUCUACCUUAGUCGUUUUAAUGGAAUCCAGUGAUUUCAUAUUCUCCCAUUUACACAAAUCAAAAAUUCACAGAUCAUUUGAAGAGUUAGACGGGAACUGAGAAGGCCUGUAUCCCAAGCAACUAUAUAGUACAGAAUCUUGGGAACAGCUUGCCUCAGAGAUGACCAUUUUGGCUUUUGUUUGAAUUAUAAAUCUUAUACCUGCCUCACCUUUUAGACAUCCUUAAUUGUUCCCUAAAUUUGCUUCCCUGUAAUGUCUGUCUGGACCUGCCAUCUCUUGCUCCAAAGAACAAAAACAAAAAACCCUUUCUUGAUGAGAAUCUGCUCUUCAUCUCCUAUCCCUCUAAAUCUUCCAUUUGCCACAUUUACCAUCAGCCAGUUUAAGGAGGAGGCACUGUAGUCUGAGUGAGGAGGGAUGAAAAGAUGAAGAGAUGGGGCUCUACUUCUGCCUCUUGCAUUGAUCAUACUGGUGACUUUGGGUGAGCCACUUUUCCACUGGGGCCUCAGUUCCUUUCUUGUAAUGUGAGGAAGAUAGACUUAGAUGAUUUUUUUUUUUUUUUUUUAGACAGAAAUUUUUGUUGCACAGGCUGGAGUGCAGUGGCACGGUCACAGCUCACUGUAGACUUGACCUCCUGGGUUCAAGCGAUCCUCCCACCUUAGCUUCCCAAAGUGUUAGAAUUACAGGCAUGAGCCACUGACCCCAGCCUAGAUGACCGUUAAGAUUACUUCCAGCCCUCUAUUCUGUAGUUCUUAACUUUUCAGCUGAGGCCUGUAUUAAAUGGUUUGAUUUGUCAUCUUCUGUCUGCCCCCUUGUGGACAUUGUUUUGGGAAGAAAAUAAAAUUCUAAUUACCUGAAGA